rnacentral:rRNA from 1 species
GGGGUGCUCGAGUGGCGAACGGGUGGGUAACACGUGAGUAACCUGCCCUUGACUUUGGGAUAACUUCAGGAAACUGGGGCUAAUACCGGAUAGGAGCUCCUGCUGCAUGGUGGGGGUUGGAAAGUCUCGGCGGUUGGGGAUGGACUCGCGGCUUAUCAGCUUGUUGGUGGGGUAGUGGCUUACCAAGGCUUUGACGGGUAGCCGGCCUGAGAGGGUGACCGGCCACAUUGGGACUGAGAUACGGCCCAG